AUAGUUACCUGGUGCCGGGGCUUUGUUGAUCACCAAGGACGAGCCCGCAGGGUGAGGUGCGGCCAUUACACUUUGCUCACGUUGACUCCUGCAACUAUCCUAAACUGGGGCAGAUGGGGUAUGCAACUUGGU
rnacentral:snRNA from 1 species